GACGAACGCUGGCGGCGUGCCUAAUACAUGCAAGUAGGACGCAGUUGCGAACGGGUGAUUAACGCGUAGGUAACUACCUAUUAGAGGGGGCUAACUAUUGGAUACGAUAGCUAAUACCGCAUACUAGUAGAUUUACCUGCGUUGUAUUAGCUAGUAGGUAGGGUAAUGGCCUACCUAGGCAAAGAUACAUAGCCGACCUGAGAGGGUGAUCGGCCACAAUGGGACUGAGGAACGGCCCAGAAUCCGACGGGAGGCAGCAGUAGGGAAUCGUCGGCAAUGGGGGGAACCCUGACCGAGCAACGCCGGGGGAGUGAAGAAGGUUUUCGGAUCGUAAAGCUCUGUUGUUAAGGAAGCGGUACUUAAACAGAAAGGGACGGCUAACUACGUGCCAGCCGCCGCGGUAAUUC
rnacentral:rRNA from 1 species